rnacentral:rRNA from 1 species
UACGUAGGGUGCGAGCGUUGUCCGGAAUUAUUGGGCGUAAAGAGCUCGUAGGCGGUUUGUUGCGUCUAUCGUGAAAACCUGCAGCUUAACUGUGGGCUUGCGGUGGAUACGGGCAGACUUGAGUUCGGUAGGGGAGACUGGAAUUCCUGGUGUAGCGGUGAAAUGCGCAGAUAUCAGGAGGAACACCGAUGGCGAAGGCAGCCCCCUGGGCUGAGAUUGACGCUCAGGCACGAAAGCGUGGGGAGCAAACAGG